rnacentral:rRNA from 1 species
AGUGAACGCUGGCGGUAGGCCUAACACAUGCAAGUCGAACGGCAGCACAGUAAGAGCUUGCUCUUACGGGUGGCGAGUGGCGGAUGGGUGAGGAAUACAUCGGAAUCUACUUUUUCGUGGGGGAUAACGUAGGGAAACUUACGCUAAUACCGCAUACGUCCUACGGGUGAAAGCAGGGGAUCUUCGGACCUUGCGCGAUUGAUUGAGCCGAUGUCGGAUUAGCUAGUUGGCGGGGUAAAGGCCCACCAAGGCGACGAUCCGUAGCUGGUCUGAGAGGAUGAUCAGCCACACUGGAACUGAGACACGGUCCAGACUCCUACGGGAGGCAGCAGUGGGGAAUAUUGGACAAUGGGCGCAAGCCUGAUCCAGCCAUACCGCGUGGGUGAAGAAGGCCUUCGGGUUGUAAAGCCCUUUUGUUGGGAAAGAAAAGCAGCAGGUUAAUACCCCGCUGUUCUGACGGUACCCAAAGAAUAAGCACCGGCUAACUUCGUG